rnacentral:rRNA from 1 species
UACGUAGGGGGCAAGCGUUGUCCGGAAUCAUUGGGCGUAAAGAGCGCGUAGGCGGCCCUGUAAGUCCGCUGUGAAAGUCAAGGGCUCAACCCUUGAAUGCCGGUGGAUACUGCAGGGCUAGAGUCCGGAAGAGGCGAGUGGAAUUCCUGGUGUAGCGGUGAAAUGCGCAGAUAUCAGGAGGAACACCAAUGGCGAAGGCAGCUCGCUGGGACGGUACUGACGCUGAGACGCGAAAGCGUGGGGAGCAAACAGG